rnacentral:misc_RNA from 1 species
CUUGGUCAUUUGAAGCAGCAGAUCCCAUACCCAACCCACGAAGGCGCGGUAGCCAUCGGAUAGCGCAUUGAAAGGCAGCAAGACCCCGCGAGACUCAAAUAGAGGCGAUUUGCUUCCCUGGGACUCCUCUACAAGACGAACCUCGUCCGGCAAUAUUGUGUUAAGGAUCGCGCGUGCCUGGUGAAGGACGCCCAGGGCAUUGAGCUGAAGAUACCCGUAUUGGAAUGGAGACAGUCCGACGUGCUCCUCGAAGAGGUUGGCUACGCGCUGGUAACGGGGGCUGCGGCUGCUCUCGCUAUAGCCCUCUGGUCGCUCGGUCCGCCGACUCGCCCCAUAGCU